rnacentral:rRNA from 1 species
UACAGAGGGGGCAAGCGUUGUUCGGAAUUACUGGGCGUAAAGGGCGCGUAGGCGGCCUGCUAAGUCGAACGUGAAAUCCCUGGGCUCAACCCAGGAACGUGUCCGUCGAUACUGGCAGGCUUGAAUCCGGGAGAGGGAUGCGGAAUUCCAGGUGUAGCGGUGAAAUGCGUAGAUAUCCUGAGGAACACCGGUGGCGAAAGCGGCGCGCUGGACCCCUUCUGACGCUGAGGCGCGAAAGCCAGGGGAGCAAACGGG